rnacentral:rRNA from 1 species
GCGAAACCUUUACCCUGCACGACAGUGCGAUAGGGGGAUCCCAAGUGCACAGGCAUAGCGCCUGUGCUUUUCGGUACCGUAAAGGUGGUACCAGAAUAAGGGCUGGGCAAGACCGGUGCCAGCCGCCGCGGUAAUACCGGCAGCCCAAGUGAUGGCCGAUCUUAUUGGGCCUAAAGCGUCCGUAGCUGGCCGCGCAAGUCCAUCGGGAAAUCCACCUGCUCAACAGGUGGGCGCCCGGUAGAAACUGCGUGGCUUGGGACCGGAAGGCGCGACGGGUACGUCCGGGGUAGGAGUGAAAUCCCGUAAUCCUGGACGGACCGCCGAUGGCGAAAGCACGUCGCGAGGACGGAUCCGACAGUGAGGGACGAAAGCCAGGGUCUCGAACCGGAUUAGAUACCCGGGUAGUCCUGGCCGUAAACAAUGUCUGCUAGGUGUGGCUCCCACUACGAGUGGGUGCUGUGCCGUAGGGAAGCCGCUAAGCAGACCGCCUGGGAAGUACGUCCGCAAGGAUGAAACUUAAAGGAAUUGGCGGGGGAGCACUACAACCGGAGGAGCCUGCGGUUUAAU